GGAGGUAUAGCUCAGUGGUAGAGUGCCUGCUUAGCAAGCACAGGGUCCUAGGUUCAAUCCCCAACAUCUCCG
rnacentral:tRNA from 1 species